rnacentral:rRNA from 1 species
UACGUAGGGUGCAGGCGUUAAUCGGAAUUACUGGGCGUAAAGCGUGCGCAGGCGGUUUGCUAAGACAGGUGUGAAAUCCCUGGGCUUAACCUGGGAACUGCGCUUGUUACUGGCAGGCUUGAGUGUGGCAGAGGGGGGUGGAAUUCCACGUGUAGCAGUGAAAUGCGUAGAGAUGUGGAGGAACACCGAUGGCGAAGGCAGCCCCCUGGGCUAACACUGACGCUCAUGCACGAAAGCGUGGGGAGCAAACAGG